rnacentral:rRNA from 1 species
AAUGAACGCUGGCGGCAGGCCUAACACAUGCAAGUCGAGCGGACGGAGGGAGCUCUCGCCUGGCUGCAGUGACGGACGGGUGGGUGAGUACCACGUGGCUAACCUGCAUAUGAGGCUGAGGUCAGGUAACGAGAGCUGAUAUAGCACCCGUCGUUAUGUUGAAACGCAGGGAUCAUCGGAGAAAAAGCGAUCAGCUGUGCCUUAGUCGGAUUAGCUAGUUGGUUGGGUAAAGGCCUACCAAGGCGACGAUCCGUAGCUGGUCUGAGAGGCUGAUCGGCCACACUGGAACUGAGACACGGUCCAGACUCCUACGGGAGGCAGCAGUGGGGAAUCUUGGGCAAUGGGCGAAAGCCUGAUCCAGCCAUGCCGCGUGUGUGAUGAAGGUCUUCGGAUUGUAAAACUCUUUUAGUUGGGAGGAAGAGCAGUAUGUUAAUCCCUUGCUAUUUUGACGGUACCAACAGAAUAAGCCCCGGCUAACUUCGUG